UGGUUAGGUCAACAUGGUGUAGAGCGUUAUGGUUACGUUAUGGUUAGGUCAACAUGGUGUAGAGCGUUAUGGUUACGUUAUGGUUAGGUCAACAUGGUGUAGAGCGUUAUGGUUACGAUAUGGUUAGGUCAACAUAGUGUAGAGCGUUAUGGUUAGGUCAACAUGAUGUAGAGAGUUAUGGUUAGGUCAACAUGAUGUAGAGUGUUAUGGUUAGGUCAACAUGAUGUAGAGCGUUAUGGUUAGGUCAAUAUGGUGUAGAGCAUUAUGGUUAGGUCAACAUGGUGUAGAGUGUU